rnacentral:ribozyme from 1 species
GGCCGCGGCUCCGAAGGCAGAGGCAUCGGAGGCUACUCAAGCGCAAACGCAGACGGCAGCCCCUUCUGCCCCCGCUGCUGCUGCUCCGUCCCCAGGGUCGGGGGGGCGUCACCGUGUGCCGAUGAUCAGAUUUCCCGACAGGU